rnacentral:rRNA from 1 species
AUUGAACGCUGGCGGCAUGCCUUACACAUGCAAGUCGAACGGCAGCAUGAUCUAGCUUGCUAGAUUGAUGGCGAGUGGCGAACGGGUGAGUAAUACAUCGGAACGUGCCCUGUAGUGGGGGAUAACUAGUCGAAAGAUUAGCUAAUACCGCAUACGACCUGAGGGUGAAAGUGGGGGAUCGCAAGGCCUCAUGCUAUAGGAGCGGCCGAUGUCUGAUUAGCUAGUUGGUGAGGUAAAGGCUCACCAAGGCGACGAUCAGUAGCUGGUCUGAGAGGACGAUCAGCCACACUGGGACUGAGACACGGCCCAGACUCCUACGGGAGGCAGCAGUGGGGAAUUUUGGACAAUGGGCGAAAGCCUGAUCCAGCAAUGCCGCGUGUGUGAAGAAGGCCUUCGGGUUGUAAAGCACUUUUGUCCGGAAAGAAAUGGCUCUGGUUAAUACCUGGGGUCGAUGACGGUACCGGAAGAAUAAGGACCGGCUAACUACGUG